rnacentral:snRNA from 1 species
GGGAGCUUCGGCGCAAGUGAA